rnacentral:tRNA from 1 species
GAGGGUAUAGCUCCAUGGUAGAGUGGAUGCCUAGCAUGUAUGAGGUCCUGAGUCCAAUCCCCAGUACCUCCA